ensembl:lncRNA
CUUUUUCUAUGUUUUAGGUGUGAGAGGACUCUUGGGGAGAUUGGAACCAGGUAAGUAGGCUUAUUUAUUAUUUUUUUAUGUUUUUUUGUGUUCUCAGGUAAGUAGGAUCUUAAUUAGUAUCAUGUACUUUUUUUAUUUUCAGGAAAAUGGGGCUCGAUUUGUGUUAGGUGCUUUUUAAGUAAUUGUGGAAUUAUGUAUUAUAUGCUAUAUUAUCAAGUGUAUUUUGAGGAAUUUUUAUUUCAGGUCAAUAGGGAUUAAUUUGUAUUAUGUGCUUUUUAAUUUUCAGAGAAGUAGGGCUUAAUUUGUAUUAGAUCUCUGUUAUUCUCCCGGUUAAUAGGGCUUAAUUUGUAUUAUAUGCUUUGUUAUCGAUUGUAUUUAGAGGAAUUUUUAUUCUGAAUCAGUGGAAUCACUUUCCUUGAAUUCUGGAGUGAGGAUAAAUUAACAAGCCGUUGCAACGUUUCGGUUCUCCUGGAACCUUCUUCAGGCAGGCUUGUUAUGAUUUGAAAUUAGUUGAAUAAGUUUGAGGAUCCAAAAAAAUAUGAGUAUUGUUUACAGGCUUUCUCUCAAAGAGCUGGAAGCAGAUUUACUAAAAUAGAUUAAGCAUCAAAAGAAUAUGAUUAGUGUUUAAAGGCUUUCUCUCAAAGAGCUGGAAGCAGAUUUACUAAAAUGGAUUAAGCAUCAAAAGAAUAUGAUUAGUGUUUAAAGGCUUUCUCUCAAAGAGCUGGAAGCAGUGAGUGAGCUUUUGCCUCCUCAACUGUCCCUUUUUAUAGUAUAGGGGGCGGGACUCUGUUUGAAUGGGCCAAUAGGAGGCUCUCUGUUUGAAUGGGCCAAUAGGAGGCUCUCCCAUGUUUUUGUGGUUGUUUUAAUCAUCUGUAGUGGGGCUUUUUUCAUUGUUUUAUUUUGAUUUUAAACUAAUGGUAUUAUUUAUUUAUUAAAUUACUGUUUCCCACUUGUGUACUGUGGGUUUUACAUUAUUUAUUUAUUUAUUUAUUUCUCCAUUUAGGUUUGAAUUGUUUUAAUCUCUUUUUUAAUUCUUUUUUCUUUUUCUUUCAAGGCAUUCUGGGGUGGCAUAGGUAUGCCUUUGCCCGUGUUUGUCCUUAUUGGGAGUUGUGAUUAAUCAAAUGAUGAUUCUUAUGAACAGGCCGACCAGAAGGGAAACGAACAGUAGAGCGAAUUGCAAACAUGAGGCACGGGCUGAUUAGGGUUGGGGUUAGGGUUAGCGGUUAGGGUUAGGGUUUGGGGGUUAGGGUUAGGGUUAGGGGGUUAGGGUUAGGGUUAAG